GAUGAAGAACGCAGCGAAAUGCGAUACGUAGUGUGAAUUGCAGAAUUCAGUGAAUCAUCGAAUCUUUGAACGCACAUUGCACCUCUCGGUAUUCCGGGAGGUAUGCCUGUUCGAGCGUCAUUUCAACCCUCAGGCCCCCAGUGCCUGGUGUUGGGGAUCGGCCCAGCCUUCCUGUAAGGCCGCCGGCCCCGAAAUCUAGUGGCGGUCUCGCUGUAGUCCUCCUCUGCGUAGUAGCACAACCUCGCAGUUGGAACGCGGCGGUGGCCAUGCCGUUAAACACCCCACUUCUGAAAGUUGACCUCGGAUCAGGUAGGAAUACCCGCUGAACUUAAGCAUAUCAAUAAGCGGAGGA
rnacentral:misc_RNA from 1 species